AUGCGUACACUGCGGCCGAACGUGUUCGUGUCACCGCGAACGCACCGCGUACACCAACUCUGUUGAAUCGAUCUCAGCUUUUCCGAGAAUAAAAGAAGAAGUGUGAGGCAAACAGGAAGAAACGUCCCACUAAACAAAACCGGAGAGAGAGAGAGAGAGAGAGAGGAGCUCGGGGGGUUGGCGUUCGGUCACGGCUCCGGUCUGCGAGGCGAGAUCAUAGCGUGAACGCCGGCAAUCGUGUCAGCCCUUCACUGCUGCUCCAAACGAGAAGCGCAAGAACUGGGAUGGGUGAUGGGAAAGUGUUCAGGAAUGUCACGUACAGUACUUCAGGAGAGAAAGAGCAGCAAAAGCGUGUCAUUCACCAGAUUCACUUAUGGUAAAAAGGAAUCACUCUUAAAGCAUGUGCCACUUGGAAGAGAAGCACCGCCCAGCACCCUACAGGGUGGCGGUGGACCGUGCUGUCGUUGUUUUCAAUAGAGGCCGUUGCCAGGCGGUGUCCGCUUGUAGUAAUAUCAGGAAAACAGUUUGACCGCAAAAUCUACCAGAGUGUAACAUGAGCGACAGGUCUUCAGUUUCAUAUGUUCCUGUAUCAAUCAUUUCCUGGCGGUGGAAGCAGGCAAUGCCUAGGAGAUGCAGAAAAGAAAUACAUUAGGUUCUCUAUUUGACAAAGUGCCUCCACUCUGCACUUUCUCUAGAGUGCACCUAAGAUCUACAAUCCAUCUUUGGGGGAAAUUCCGGUAAUACAUCAACUCAACUUGUAAUCAAUUUCACUAGUCCCUAAUUCGAACAGCUUUCGUUUUCAAUAUGAGUCUCUUGUGCGAUAUUUUAUCAAAGGCCUUUGAAAAUCUGUACAUUUGUACAUAUGUUUAACAUCUACUGGAUUUCUUCAAUCUAAUAAAUAAGAUGUAUCCUGUAAACAACCAUAAAUUUGGAAGGUAGAUCUCUUAUUUUUUUAUUAUACAGGGUGACCAAAAGUUGAGAUACCAUUACAA